rnacentral:rRNA from 1 species
GACGAACGCUGGCGGCGUGCUUAACACAUGCAAGUCGAACGGAAAGGCCCUGCUUUUGUGGGGUGCUCGAGUGGCGAACGGGUGAGUAACACGUGAGUAACCUGCCCUUGACUUUGGGAUAACUUCAGGAAACUGGGGCUAAUACCGGAUAGGAGCUCCUGCUGCAUGGUGGGGGUUGGAAAGUUUCGGCGGUUGGGGAUGGACUCGCGGCUUAUCAGCUUGUUGGUGGGGUAGUGGCUUACCAAGGCUUUGACGGGUAGCCGGCCUGAGAGGGUGACCGGCCACAUGGGGACUGAGAUACGGCCCAGACGCCUACGGGAGGCAGCAGUGGGGAAUAUUGCACAAUGGGCGGAAGCCUGAUGCAGCAACGCCGCGUGCGGGAUGACGGCCUUCGGGUUGUAAACCGCUUUCGCCUGUGACGAAGCGUGAGUGACGGUAAUGGGUAAAGAAGCACCGGCUAACUACG